rnacentral:lncRNA from 1 species
GGUCAGGGGAGGGAGGCCAGCGGGCCGGCGGGGUCCGCCCCGACCCCAUCCACGACCCCGACUCCUAUCCGAUCCUAUCCCCGGCCCCGCUCGGGCCUUUCCCCUUGCGCCCUGGCUCGGCUGGCUCGACGAGCAGUAAGUUCGUAGCCGCCCUCCGAAGCCGGGCGUGCAUGGGAUGGCAGAGUUGGCGUGCGUGCGUGAGUCCACCAGUGUGGCAUGGGCAUGUAAGGUGCGCGGAGGGACUGCACCUUCUCCAUCAGGUGCAGAAGGCCACAUCAUGCUGAACAAGAGCCGAGAAGUAGAAUCGCCAGUGUCAAGCCGUCCACGUUGUGGGAUGCCCACUGUUCCCCCAGGAUCACUCAAGACCCUGUGACUUGUGGUCACUGAUGAGUGGACCAAGUGAAGUCCACAAGAUGGCUGCUGUGGCUCCAGGCAUCACGUCCACAUGCAAAUCCAUCCAGAGGCAGGAACUGGGAAUAGGCUUGGAGGUGGCCAGGACAGCAAGUGGGCUGUCUGUAUAAACCUCCCCUCCACUUGGGAAGGAAAAUCACCCCCCAAGUCGAUUUUCUGUCCAUCUUAUUGAUCAGAGAGCGUUAUAAAUUCACCCAUUAAAUAAUCUGGACAAGGGGAGCGUGCAUGUUGUCCUUGGUUUAGACUGGUUAUGAUUUAUGCCCUGAAAUUGGACAUAUUGCCAAGCAAGCGAAAUUGAGAUUCCAUCAGCCAGGAAGAAGGGGUAAGGAUGAUGAAUAUUGGGUAGGCACAUGAUAGGGGUUGUCACAAGUUUUAAGAUGCUUUCAAUUAGUAAAUAACUGUCAAGAUUACCUUUUGUUUUCACCUGCCCAGUCUCCAUUGUGCCUCCUUCAGAAACACACACUGGGUUUUCUUUGGGUGUGAAGGGGCCUCUGUGUCCAUCAUUCCAGUGUGAGCACAUGAUCUGAGCCCGGUCAGUGAGGUUUAAUUUCAGGACUUUGGUUGGAACUCUUGGGAAAGACAAGUUCUCCCUGACCUGGGGUGUUUGAAAAGAUAACAUGCUAGCCUGGAAUUGUUGGGGGCUAUUUUACCUGCCUACCUACCUGAAUGAAUGAAUGGUUGACUGAAUUAAGCUGACACAAAGGGGUGGUAGAGGGAUGAGGAGAGGAGAACAGAGGGAUGGUGAGAAACUUGGUCCAAAUGAAAUUGCUUGAGACCGGUAUGCAGCUGUGACAGAUGAUUCAGUUACAUGACAUAAUAAAUCUUUCCCUCAUCCCCCACCUUAUUUUUUUCUUUUGUAUGUAAGUUAGUUUGAGUUGCAAAAGAUUACUGACAGGAAUGGUACCUAGCAAUGGAGUGUUACAAGUAAUAGACCCUAAAAUGUGGAUUGGCAAAUUGCAGGUAGAAUGGAA